AGAGCGAACGCUGGCGGCAGGCCUAACACAUGCAAGUCGAGCGCCCGUAGCAAUACGGGAGCGGCAGACGGGAUAGUAACACGUGGGAACGCGCCCUUCGGUUCGGAAUAACUCAGGGAAACUUGAGCUAAUACCGGAUACGCCCUUACGGGGAAAGAUUUAUUGCCGAAGGAACGGCCCGCGUCCGAUUAGCUAGUUGGUGAGGUAAUGGCUCACCAAGGCUCCGAUCGGUAGCUGGUCUGAGAGGAUGACCAGCAUCACUGGGACUGAGACACGGCCCAGACUCCUACGGGAGGCAGCAGUGGGGAAUUUUGCGCAAUGGGGGAAACCCUGACGCAGCAACGCCGCGUGGAGGAUGAAGUCCUUCGGGACGUAAACUCCUUUCGAUCGGGACGAUUAUGACGGUACCGGAAGAAGAAGCCCCGGCUAACUUCGUGCCAGCAGCCGC
rnacentral:rRNA from 1 species